GUGGAUUAGUGGCGAACGGGUGAGUAACACGUGGGCAAUCUGCCCUUCACUCUGGGACAAGCCCUGGAAACGGGGUCUAAUACCGGAUAACACCGGCUUCUGCAUGGAAGCUGGUUAAAAGCUCCGGCGGUGAAGGAUGAGCCCGCGGCCUAUCAGCUUGUUGGUGGGGUAAUGGCCUACCAAGGCGACGACGGGUAGCCGGCCUGAGAGGGCGACCGGCCACACUGGGACUGAGACACGGCCCAGACUCCUACGGGAGGCAGCAGUGGGGAAUAUUGCACAAUGGGCGAAAGCCUGAUGCAGCGACGCCGCGUGAGGGAUGACGGCCUUCGGGUUGUAAACCUCUUUCAGCAGGGAAGAAGCGAAAGUGACGGUACCUGCAGAAGAAGCGCCGGCUAACUACGUGCCAGCAGCCGCGGUAAUACGUAGGGCGCAAGCGUUGUCCGGAAUUAUUGGGCGUAAAGAGCUCGUAGGCGGCUUGUCACGUCGGGUGUGAAAGCCCGGGGCUUAACCCCGGGUCUGCAUCCGAUACGGGCAGGCUAGAGUGUGGUAGGGGAGAUCGGAAUUCCUGGUGUAGCGGU
rnacentral:rRNA from 1 species